CCUCUUUAACACAUCUUUCUAGACCUCAAUCCUUUCAGUUGUUUUAACUUUAGAUCUUGCACAGCCAGAUCCCAAUCAUGUCUGGAGUUAAAGGAGGACACCAGCAAAAAUCACACAGUCAGGAACCCUGCAAGGAUUCUUGCCAAAAGCAUGAAGGCCAUGAACAGAGCCAUAAAAGUGAAAGUCAUGAUUCUCAUCAUUGCCACCAGGAGGCGAGUCAUCAGCAAAAAGACCAUUCUGAGCAAAGUCAUCAUGAACCCCCUAAAAAGCACUGAUAAAAUCAGAAGAGAAAACAUUAAAAGAGAUAAUGUUAUUCAUUCAUGCUUCUUAAAUCAUUAAAUAACAAAUCUUGCAAUAGUAUUAUGUUAGAUGCAAUG